GGUAAUUUACGGAUCUUAAUUACGUGAUUAACAGGUUAAUACGAUAAUAAAUAGUGUUUAAGACGCAAAUUAACUUAAUUAGGCCUUUGGAGCGCCUAGGAACGUUAUCCGACUUUACAGUGCGCAAACGGUGGUUUACAGAGAAACCUGGUGAAUACUAAGCGACAACAAACAUAAACCGUACGAAAUACUGACAACGCCGGCAAAUAUGGAUGUUACACGAAUAUUUUAUGUUCAUGGGUUGCGAUAUCGGGUCUCGAAGGAAUUUCGGACCGCUUACACAUGAGAUGGGCUUGUGGGCCCUGGGCCCAAGCCCAAAACACACAAGCCUAAACCUACACAUAAUAUAUUAGAUUUUUUCUACAAGACUUUUCUUAUAAAUCUAUCCAAAAUCUCUUCAAUGUCUUAUAAAAUCUUGCCAAAAAUCUAAAAAAAAUCCUUAUAAAAGAUUGUUGUCUCAAAAGUUUAGAACACACAAGAUUUAUAAGAUCUUGUUAUCUCUAUAAAAUAAGAGUGUGUAUCACAUUUCAUUCACAACACAUAUACACUCACACAAGAACCCACAGACUUAAAGUCUGCCCUCUCCUUCUCGGUUACACACACAAAUAGAGAACAUGCCUUUCAUCUCCUCUCACCCCUCUCGAUUUCAAUACAAACAGAACACACACUAUUCCUCUCAUCCCCUUUUUAUUUUUGUCUGAUACCACACAAACCAAAAUAUGCAUACUUGUCUUCAACACCCUCUCUCUCUCUCGAUACAAACACAGACACAACACACAUCUCUCAGCUCACCCUCCUCCCCCGUUUCCCCAGUCCGGCGAUCGGUGAACCGGUGAAACCGGUGCUGCUUCUCCGACCAGACACCCCCCCUUCGAGCAGCAAGUCGGAUCACCACCACCACCACUGUCGGGUGGUGGUGAGCAACAGAUAGAGAGAGAAAGAUGAAGCGAAAGGAGAGAGAGAACGGAAGAAGAACGAGGGCCGGCGCCGCCGUUCACGGUGGCGCGUGGUGGUGCGUGGCGGCGUCGGCGUGGUUGCUCAGCAGGUGAGAGAGAGACGAGAAGAGAGAGAGAGAGAGAUCGGAGCCACGGACCGGCGGUCGGAGCAACGGACCAACGGUCUUCAUCAUUAUCCGACAAAUUCCGGUACGAUAUUGAUCUUGUUCCUCGAUUCCUUUCAAAAAGAUGGUGAGUUUUCUGUUUUUGGCGACAAACGCCACUCACGGUGGCGGCGACCGUCGGCUGACGGCGGGCCAACGACAGCAACUGAGGCGGAACGGUGGUGACACAGUGCAGUUCCAGUCAAAGGCGGUCAACAGGAGGUUUUGGUUAGGCUCGAGUCAGCCUGUUUCGGUUCACAGAUUUGGUUCAGAUCGGUUCAGGUGUCACCUCGGUUUGGUUCAGGUUAAACGCGGGACAGAUUCGGGUUUGGUCAACCGAGUUGACUCGGUCAACUCGGGUCAACUCAGCGAGUGAACUCAGCCGGACAACCCGGUUGACUCGGAGAGUCAGCUGGUCAACUCACAACGAAAACAGCGCGAAAGUUUUGGUUGCAUUUCUAAGACAAAGCACGGUUGGAAUAGGAGGACCAUGAAGAGUCGAGUACUUAGUGGCGUUCAAUUUCUAGAAGUCUUAGCUUUAUUUGCUUCCGCUGUGCAAUGAAGAUACCAGUCCAGUCACGCCAAUGCUCUGAUAAUUUCGGGGUGUGACAGAUUGGUAUCAGAGCUAUAGGUUACAGCGAAUUAGGUUUCUGUUGUGAUACCUAGGCUCUAACCUCACCUUUCCCCCUGGGGACUUAGAUCAUUGAGACGUUGAAUACAUACAGAACGCUUAGUACUCGAAUAUGGUCUCCAACCGUUGCCGAAAAACAAGCAGUCAAAAUAUUGUUUCCAAACAUACGCUGUUACGGUGUUUCAUACACGGUGCAUAAAAUAAUUACAUACAGAACACAACAGUCUGAGAGGCUGGGAGGAUAGUCUAGUGGGACUAGGAGAUUCAGUCUGAGAGGCUGAAAGGAUAGUCUAGUGGGACUAGGAGAUUCAGUCUGGGAGGACUGGAAGGGCAGUCUAGUGGGACUAGGAGGUUCAGUCUGAGAGGCUGGAAGGAUAGUCUAGUGGGACUAGAAAAUUCAGUCUGAGAGGCUGGAAGGAUAGUCUAGUGGGACUAGAAGAUUCAGUCUGAGAGGCUGAAAGGAUAGUCUAGUGGGACUAGGAGAUUCAGUCUGAGAGGCUGAGAGGAUAGUCUAGUGGGACUAGGAGAUUCAGUCUGAGAGGCUGGAAGGAUAGUCUAGUGGGACUAGGAGAUUCAGUCUGGGAGGACUGGAAGGGCAGUCUAGUGGGACUAGGAGGUUCAGUCUGGGAGGCUGGAAGGAUAGUCUAGUGGGACUAGGAGAUUCAGUCUGAGAGGCUGGAAGGAUAGUCUAGUGGGACUAGGAGAUUCAGUCUGAGAGGCUGGAAGGAUAGUCUAGUGGGACUAGGAGAUUCAGUCUGAGAGGCUGGAAGGAUAGUCUAGUGGGACUAGGGGAUUCAGUCUGAGAGGCUGGGAGGAUAGACUAGUGGGACUAGGGGAAUUACUUGAUUGCUUAUUGAUGACUAACAUGCGUAUAUGAUCGAUUAUUUGUGCAUGGACAUCACGUAGGAAUCGCGAAUAUUAACUCGGGUACACACUAUUAUCCACAUUGUUUAUGAUAUUUUAACUCCCCGAGCAGGCAGCCUACGCAUAACAAAACGAUAGCGCACGGGAAUACAUGGAACUCAAUUUUUACGUCCACGGAUGUCGGGGUACAUCACCUUCUACAUGGCACACGACGCUAGUGCACAGGUAUACGUGGAACUUAAGCUUACAUCAACAGAGGUUGAAGUACGUCACAUACGACUAUCAAGGCGAGGCCUUUGAAAAGACGCGAUGGCGCAACUCAACGACGACGCUAGAUUCCUGUCAGCAGGAGAACUAACGGCCAGGAAACGACAACUUGUCACGCGAUCCUGCAACGACACGAAUCACUCCAAGGAAAAGACGUAUGUCUCCACAUCCCCCCUAUUUCGGUUAACGACGGUAAUGUCACCUAACAAUUGGUCAUCACAUGAAACCCCAGGUAAAGUCCUCAAAUUUCUAUUAUUGAAAUUUCGAAUUUCACGCUCACUGAGUAGAUUUUCGCAUCUCUACUCCUCUUAAUGGUCAUUGUAUCACGAUCAUUUCUUUACAAGUUACAUACAUGGUUUUUCAUGGUGACCAUGCCGAAAGUUUUCUUGUUGAUACAUAUGCUUAUUGUCGGAUUGCGCUAAAACCAGGUUCAAUUGUUUGAACUUGUCCAUUACACAUGUUCGAUUCGAAACACCAUAUGAUGUAUUGAAAACAUCAUAUUCAAAUUCAUAUUAACAAGCGUUUCAUUUGUUCCGAGUCGAAGUGAACUUGUUUGGCAUUCGACUCCAUUAAAUUGUUUGUUGAUUUCGACACCUUGUGGUGGUGUUUUCACUUAACUAAAGCUUGCGCUAAACUCAUUUCGGCAUCUCAUGCACGGAUUUAAAUAUUACUUAUUGAUUGCUUUAAAUCCGCUUUGAUUUACCAUAAUUAAAACAGUCUUAACACAAUCGUGUGAUAAGACAAGGGUACACAAAAAAAAAAUUCGUUUCAUAUUCCGGUGUACCUUCUAACGUUCCUUUCAACAUUGAUCGAAUGAUUUGCGAUAUUCAUUGCUUCUUCAUCUUCGAUCAAGAACAUUAAUUCUUUGAUGUUUCAUUUUCAAUUGAAAGUUCUAUGAUGUCAUUUGAAACAAACUUUCAGAUUCCCUUUACUGCGCAUUCAUUUGACUUCAAACACGGUGAAUUUGUUUGAUCACCGCUAUUAUUGGAUUGUUUAAAUCAUUACGACACCUUGUGGUGUUGGUACAAACUUGUAGCUUGGGCUAAUCAUGAUCGGUCGUUUCAUGCAAAACACAGGUGAUACUUGUUCGAUCACCGAUAUUAUUGAAUUGUUUCAUUCAUUGCGACACCUUGAGGCGUCGGUAUAAUUUGCAGCUUGUGCUGAUCACAAUCGAGCGUUUCAUGCAAACUAUUAUAUUUGAGAUGGUUGAUUCUAAGAUCACCCAGUGGAUGUUAUUGCUUCUAGAACUCGUUUACAUGUUAUAUGGAAUUCGAUUGGUCGAAGUUCCUGUUCAUUAUUGGAUCCUGCUAACUUAGUCACACCAGUGACUGUAUCUGUACAUCUUGUUUCCCUUGACAUCAACUUUUGAAACACACUUCUGAAGAGAUAACCUAUUCUAAAUUUCGAGGACGAAAUUUCUGUAACAGGGGGAGAAUGUGACAACCGGUAAUUUACGGAUCUUAAUUACGUGAUUAACAGGUUAAUACGAUAAUAAAUAGUGUUUAAGACGCAAAUUAACUUAAUUAGGCCUUUGGAGCGCCUAGGAACGUUAUCCGACUUUACAGUGCGCAAACGGUGGUUUACAGAGAAACCUGGUGAAUACUAAGCGACAACAAACAUAAACCGUACGAAAUACUGACAACGCCGGCAAAUAUGGAUGUUACACGAAUAUUUUAUGUUCAUGGGUUGCGAUAUCGGGUCUCGAAGGAAUUUCGGACCGCUUACACAUGAGAUGGGCUUGUGGGCCCUGGGCCCAAGCCCAAAACACACAAGCCUAAACCUACACAUAAUAUAUUAGAUUUUUUCUACAAGACUUUUCUUAUAAAUCUAUCCAAAAUCUCUUCAAUGUCUUAUAAAAUCUUGUCAAAAAUCUAAAAAAAAUCCUUAUAAAAGAUUGUUGUCUCAAAAGUUUAGAACACACAAGAUUUAUAAGAUCUUGUUAUCUCUAUAAAAUAAGAGUGUGUAUCACAUUUCAUUCACAACACAUAUACACUCACACAAGAACCCACAGACUUAAAGUCUGCCCUCUCCUUCUCGGUUACACACACAAAUAGAGAACAUGCCUUUCAUCUCCUCUCACCCCUCUCGAUUUCAAUACAAACAGAACACACACUAUUCCUCUCAUCCCCUUUUUAUUUUUGUCUGAUACCACACAAACCAAAAUAUGCAUACUUGUCUUCAACACCCUCUCUCUCUCUCGAUACAAACACAGACACAACACACAUCUCUCAGCUCACCCUCCUCCCCCGUUUCCCCAGUCCGGCGAUCGGUGAACCGGUGAAACCGGUGCUGCUUCUCCGACCAGACACCCCCCCUUCGAGCAGCAAGUCGGAUCACCACCACCACCACUGUCGGGUGGUGGUGAGCAACAGAUAGAGAGAGAAAGAUGAAGCGAAAGGAGAGAGAGAACGGAAGAAGAACGAGGGCCGGCGCCGCCGUUCACGGUGGCGCGUGGUGGUGCGUGGCGGCGUCGGCGUGGUUGCUCAGCAGGUGAGAGAGAGACGAGAAGAGAGAGAGAGAGAGAUCGGAGCCACGGACCGGCGGUCGGAGCAACGGACCAACGGUCUUCAUCAUUAUCCGACAAAUUCCGGUACGAUAUUGAUCUUGUUCCUCGAUUCCUUUCAAAAAGAUGGUGAGUUUUCUGUUUUUGGCGACAAACGCCACUCACGGUGGCGGCGACCGUCGGCUGACGGCGGGCCAACGACAGCAACUGAGGCGGAACGGUGGUGACACAGUGCAGUUCCAGUCAAAGGCGGUCAACAGGAGGUUUUGGUUAGGCUCGAGUCAGCCUGUUUCGGUUCACAGAUUUGGUUCAGAUCGGUUCAGGUGUCACCUCGGUUUGGUUCAGGUUAAACGCGGGACAGAUUCGGGUUUGGUCAACCGAGUUGACUCGGUCAACUCGGGUCAACUCAGCGAGUGAACUCAGCCGGACAACCCGGUUGACUCGGAGAGUCAGCUGGUCAACUCACAACGAAAACAGCGCGAAAGUUUUGGUUGCAUUUCUAAGACAAAGCACGGUUGGAAUAGGAGGACCAUGAAGAGUCGAGUACUUAGUGGCGUUCAAUUUCUAGAAGUCUUAGCUUUAUUUGCUUCCGCUGUGCAAUGAAGAUACCAGUCCAGUCACGCCAAUGCUCUGAUAAUUUCGGGGUGUGACAGAACCGGUCACAGAGGGUUAUACCAUCAUGUAACCUGGUCCUAAGAGAGUCCUAAGGGAUUGUUACGAGGAGACUUGUGGUGUUGCAGUUGCACAAGACAGGGCAGGCGACAAUUAUGCAGAAUUUGGAUACAUGUAAACGCAUCUAUUAAGUUGUUAUAAUAUACUAAAUAAUAAUACAUAAUAUAUUUUCACGGGUAACUUUACUAGUCAACCAGGGUCCAAAAUACAGAUUGUCACAGGAUGUUUAAAUUAUUAAGGCUCGGUUUUUACAAAAUAUACAUUAUGAUUCACCCACAAAAAAAAAAAAACA